rnacentral:rRNA from 1 species
AGCAGCCGCGGUAAUUCCAGCUCCAAUAGCGUAUAUUAAAGUUGUUGCAGUUAAAAAGCUCGUAGUUGAAUUUCGGGAUCAAUAUGUUGGUCGUGCCUCGGUACGUACUGGCAUUAUUGGUUUCUACCUUCUGAAGAACCUCGAUGUCAUUAAUUUGGUGUCUUGGGGAAUCAGGACUGUUACUUUGAAAAAUUAGAGUGUUUAAAGCAGGCUCACGUUUGAAUACAUUAGCAUGGAAUAAUGAAAUAGGACGUUUGAUUCUAUUUUGUUGGUUUCUAGGAUUGACGUAAUGAUUAAUAGGGAUAGUUGGGGGCAUUAGUAUUCAAUUGUCAGAGGUGAAAUUCUUGGAUUUAUUGAAGACUGACUACUGCGAAAGCAUUUGCCAAGGAUGUUUUCAUUAAUCAAGAACGAAAGUUAGGGGAUCAAAGACGAUCAGAUACCGUCGUAGUCUUAACCAUAAACUAUGCCGACUAGGGAUCGGAUGAUGUUAUUUUUAAUGACUCA